UGCCCCAUGGCUGAGUUGGUUACAGCGUCCGACUGUUAACGAUUGCGGUAUCGGAAGGUCGUGAGUUCGAGCCUCACUGGGGCAG